AUUUGUCGACAUAAAACUGGUUCAUUGCUCUCGUAUUUACUUCCGAGAGAAUGAUUAAAAGGGAAUCCGGUUAAAGUCCGGAGCUGUCCCCGCAGCUGUAAGCUCUUUAAAAGGUUUGAACAAUACCCCCUGCCACUGAAAACUGUGAUUAAUCAUAACCACAGCUUUUGGGAAGGCGGUUCAAACCGGAGCAAGCCAGAAGACCUGCCAGUAAAUCUAAAUUCGU
rnacentral:ncRNA from 2 species